UUGAACGCUGGCGGCAUGCUUUACACAUGCAAGUCGAACGGUAACAGGUUAAGCUGACGAGUGGCGAACGGGUGAGUAAUGCAUCGGAACGUGCCCGAUCGUGGGGGAUAACGCAGCGAAAGCUGCGCUAAUACCGCAUACGAUCUGAGGAUGAAAGCGGGGGACCGUAAGGCCUCGCGCGAUCGGAGCAGCCGAUGUCAGAUUAGGUAGUUGGUGGGGUAAAGGCUCACCAAGCCGACGAUCUGUAGCUGGUCUGAGAGGACGACCAGCCACACUGGGACUGAGACACGGCCCAGACUCCUACGGGAGGCAGCAGUGGGGAAUUUUGGACAAUGGGCGAAGGCCUGAUCCAGCAAUGCCGCGUGCAGGAAGAAGGCCUUCGGGUUGUAAACUGCUUUUGUACGGAACGAAAAGAUCUCUUCUAAUAAAGGGUAUUCAUGACGGUACCGUAAGAAUAAGCACCGGCUAACUACGU
rnacentral:rRNA from 1 species